UGAAGGUUGAGACAAGAGUUACUAACCACUUGCCUCCCUUGACUAUUCAAUGAUGUCUUACAUAUACUCGCCCCAAGGCAGGUGGUACUUCGUCUACCUCCGGCGAGAACUCAGCACAAGCCACCCUUACACUGGAUUAAGAACAUAUAGAGCGUGUGCAUAUAUAUAGUCUAGUCGGGAAAUAAGUGGCGUAUAAAGCUUGAAAAGUGAGGGAACUGUCCGCAUAUGAGAUAGGAAAAUGAUGCUGCGCCGGGUGCUACCAAACGGUGGCAUCAUAGGGACGCAAAGCCAUGUGAUCGUUGGGGCAGAUCAGGUUCGAGGGUAGGCAUGCGCGAGGGUGCUACUGUGACCUAACAGGACUGUGCUUGAGUAUAUAUCGUUCCCUUCCUGAGGGCGUAGCUGUUGGAGAUGAAGGCAUAGCUAUUGGAGAAUCUUUUCUUGAUGAACUAGCAAUGUCAAGAGAUGGUUUGGCAGAUACCGUUGCUAUUGUAGAUUGUUGAUUAUUGUUUCCAUCCCUUCAGAGUUAUUUUUAUCUCCAACAAUGCAUAUCUUUCGUCUUAUUAGACUUUGCUAGUUACCGGAGUUAA